rnacentral:rRNA from 1 species
CCUACGGGAGUCUGCAGUGGGGAAUAUUGGACAAUGGGCGAAAGCCUGAUCCAGCCAUGCCGCGUGUGUGAAGAAGGCCUUCGGGUUGUAAAGCACUUUCAGUGGGGAAGAAAGCCUUGGGGCUAAUACCCUCGAGGAAGGACAUCACCCACAGAAGAAGCACCGGCUAACUCCGUGCCAGCAGCCGCGGUAAUACGGAGGGUGCGAGCGUUAAUCGGAAUUACUGGGCGUAAAGCGCGCGUAGGCGGUCUGAUAAGCCGGUUGUGAAAGCCCCGGGCUCAACCUGGGAACGGCAUCCGGAACUGUCAGGCUAGAGUGCAGGAGAGGAAGGUAGAAUUCCCGGUGUAGCGGUGAAAUGCGUAGAGAUCGGGAGGAAUACCAGUGGCGAAGGCGGCCUUCUGGACUGACACUGACGCUGAGGUGCGAAAGCGUGGGUAGCAAACAGGAUUAGAUACCCUUGUAGUC